rnacentral:lncRNA from 1 species
CAUCACAAAGGCUAUUGUCCAUAGGGUCACAAAGAGUCAGAUACGACUAAAGAGACUUAGCAUGCACACAUGCAUGAACUCUAAUGGAAGAUAAGACAUCUUCAAACACACAGGAAAUAAUUAUUUGGACAUUAAAGAGAAGAGUAAUCCCAGAGACUGGAAUACUUUAGCAUGCUGGUACCUGCAUCAUCUCAUAUCCUCCCUGGCCAGUUCUGUUCACCAUCAAUACUCACAAACUUUUCCUUGUCGUUUCAAGGCUUGAGUUUUUACAGUCUGAUACCUGUGAAUAAUGGUGAUGGUUUACUAUGAUCCCAGUUUCAAGAGGCCAUUAGCAAUUUUUUCAACAGUCUUCAGGAAUGUGUGUACUUAUGAAGAGCUCUGGGGUCCAGAAGAAGUAUUUUGAAGGAAGAGAAUUAUUGGUGUCACCUCACCCUAUUGUAUUCUUGGAAGUCAGCUCGCCAGGGCACUCGCACCAAGGAGGAGACAUGUUGCCAUUUCAGAAGCCUCAAGCCCACAAACCUCCAGGGGGAACGAUGAGUGCCUGAACCCCACUCGCCUCUGGCUCCUGGGGCGGCCCUGCCCAUCACCUUAGACCAGGCACACACCUGAAAGGAAAAAUGUAAGCCAUCCCACUUCUUACCUUCACAAAUGCUUUAAACACAGGCUUGGAAAAUCUGCGGGUUCCUAACACGUUCUCAGAUAUAUGCCUUUGCGCCUGGCGGAGGUGAACUGAUACGGUGCUCAGUGGAAGGAAUUCGGCUCCUGCCAGGAGACAGUGAGGGGCUGUGGAGCCAUAUAACCAGGGGCGAACAGUGAACGCCCUCUCUCCUUGGAAACUCCGACCACCCCGAGCCUCAGAGAAGUCUGGCUCAGCUGCAUCGCCUGUUAGCCUAACGAUCCACCGGGGACGCUGGUACAUCCGUGGCUGGAGCCUUAUUAUUGGAUUGUGAGCAUUGCAAUGGAUGAGGCACAAGGCCAGCAACCGGGUGGCAUUGACAAGUCUUGGCCCCAGUAGGUACAGUGUGUGGAGGCUGAACAAAUCUCAACCUUAUUUUUUUCUAUCACUCCAUUGAUAGAUCGCAAAAAACUGCCGGCAUACCUUUGCUUACCCCUGCCCCCUUCGCAAUCGAGGGCAAACCUAUUGAAGAAUAAAGAGUAAAAUAAUCACCAUAAUAGGGAUGAGAAAAUGGCACACUAAUGAUCCGACGUUAAAGUAUAAUGUAAUAAAAACAACUUUACCUCAUGUACUUUCAAUACAUUUCAUAUACCACACAGCAAUUUACUG